rnacentral:rRNA from 1 species
CGGGUGGGGAAUAACCCAGGGAAACUUGGGCUAAUACCGCAUAAUGCAGCGGCACCUAAUGGUGAUUAGUUGUUAAAGCGGGGGAUCGCAAGACCUCGCGCCUGAAGAGGAGCCUGCGGUAGAUUAGCUAGUUGGUGAGGUAAUGGCUCACCAAGGCUUCGAUCUGUAGCUGGUCUGAGAGGACGGCCAGCCACACUGGCACUGACACACGGGCCAG